UACAGAGGGCGCUAGCGUUGCUCGGAUUCAUUGGGCGUAAAGGGCGCGUAGGCGGCGUGGUAAGUCGGGUGUGAAAUCUCGGGGCUUAACUCCGGAACUGCAUUCGAUACUGCCGUGCUUGAGGACUGGAGAGGAGACUGGAAUUUACGGUGUAGCGGUGAAAUGCGUAGAUAUCGUAAGGAAGACCAGUGGCGAAGGCGGGUCUCUGGACAGUUCCUGACGCUGAGGCACGAAAGCCAGGGGAGCAAACAGG
rnacentral:rRNA from 1 species